rnacentral:misc_RNA from 1 species
GAUGAAGAACGUAGCGAAAUGCGAUAAGUAAUGUGAAUUGCAGAAUUCAGUGAAUCAUCGAAUCUUUGAACGCAUCUUGCGCUCCUUGGUAUUCUGAGGAGCAUGCCUGUUUGAGUGUCAUUAAAUUCUCAACUACACUGACUUUGAAUUGGUGUGGCUUGGAUUUGGGUGGGAAAAUUGUUGUGGGCUUUUUGUAUAGUCUGCUCCCCUGAAAUUGAUUAGCGGUACCUUUGUGGAACUGUCUACAGGUGUGAUAAUUAUCUACAUCCUAGACAUCUGCUGGAAUGCUGCUUUCUAAACCCUACUUGUAUUGACAAUCUUGACCUCAAAUCAGGUAGGACUACCCGCUGAACUUAAGCAUAUCAAUAAGCGGAGGA